AACGAACGCUGGCGGCAUGCCUAACACAUGCAAGUCGAACGAGAUCUUCGGGUCUAGUGGCGCACGGGUGCGUAACGCGUGGGAAUCUGCCCUUUGGUUCGGAAUAACAGUUGGAAACGACUGCUAAUACCGGAUGAUGACGAAAGUCCAAAGAUUUAUCGCCAGAGGAUGAGCCCGCGUAGGAUUAGCUAGUUGGUGUGGUAAAGGCGCACCAAGGCGACGAUCCUUAGCUGGUCUGAGAGGAUGAUCAGCCACACUGGGACUGAGACACGGCCCAGACGCCUACGGGAGGCAGCAGUGGGGAAUAUUGGACAAUGGGCGAAAGCCUGAUCCAGCAAUGCCGCGUGAGUGAUGAAGGCCUUAGGGUUGUAAAGCUCUUUUACCCGGGCUGAUAAUGACAGUACCGGGAGAAUAAGCUCCGGCUAACUCCGUGCCAGCCGCCGCGGUAA
rnacentral:rRNA from 1 species